GGGGUAGGCUCGAGUGGUGACGAGCCUGCCUGGUGAGUGGGAGGCCCUGGGUUCAAAUCCUAGUAACACCA
rnacentral:tRNA from 1 species